AUAUUACCUGUUGUUGGGUUCAGGGUGAUCAAGAAUGCUCUAGCCUUGGGUGUAAGCUCACCAUUGCACCUCGGUGGGUUGAAACUUGCCAAGGAUCUUGAUCGGGUGCACUUGGGCGCGUAGUUUUUGUCAGUUGGGAGGCCUCACGGUCCUCCCUU
rnacentral:snRNA from 1 species